ensembl:lncRNA
UUUAUUGUUUUGUUAGUUAUUUCAUGUCUAGUUCCUUUAUUAAAGAACAUGAAUAACCACCACGCUGCAUUUUGGUCCGCUUCUCCUUCACCACAGGAAAACCCUUAUACAUACAUCAGUAUGCAACACCAUUUGUUCAAACAACAUUCUCUCCCAAAUCAAAUCAAAUCAAAUUGUAUUUGUCACAUGCGCCUAAUACAAUUAGGUGUAGACCUUACAGUGAAAUGCUUACUUACAAGCCCUUAACCAAUAAUACCGUUUUUUUUUUUUUUAAGUGUUAAGAAAGUAUUUACUAAAAUAACUGAAUAACAUUUAUUUUUUUUUAUAAAUAAAGAAGCAGCCAAAAACUUACAGUAGCGAGGUUAUAUACUGGAGGUACCAGUACAGAGUAAAUGUGAGGAGGCUAUAUACAGGAGGUACCAGUACAGAGUAAAUGUGAGGAGGCUAUAUACAGGAGGUACCGGUACAGAGUAAAUGUGAGGAGGUUAUAUGCAGGAGGUACCAGUACAGAGUAAAUGUGAGGAGGCUAUAUACAGGAGGUACCGGUACAGAGUAAAUGCGAGGAGGCUAUAUACAAGUGGUACCGGUGCAGAGUAAAUGUGAGGAGGCUAUAUACAGGAGGUACCGGUACAGCACUAUUGGCCCAGCAUCAUCCGUGUUUGGCCGGGGUAGGCCGUCUUUGUAAAUAAGAAUUUGUUCUUAACCGACUUGCCUAGUUAAAUAAAGGUUAAAUAAAUAAACGCAUUAAGAAGGAAAUAAAUUCCACAAAUUAAUUUUUAAGAAGGCACACCUGUUAAUUGAAAUGCAUUCCAGGUGACUACCUCAUGAAGCUGUUUGAGAGAAUGCCAAGAGUGUGC